UACGUAGGGGGCAAGCGUUGUCCGGAUUUAUUGGGCGUAAAGAGCGUGUAGGCGGUUUGGUAGGUCCGCUGUGAAAACUCGAGGCUCAACCUCGAGACGCCGGUGGAAACGAUCAGACUAGAGUCCGGAAGAGGAGAGUGGAAUUCCUGGUGUAGCGGUGAAAUGCGCAGAUAUCAGGAAGAACACCCGUGGCGAAGGCGGCUCUCUAGUACGGUACUGACGCUGAGACGCGAAAGCGUGGGGAGCGAACAGG
rnacentral:rRNA from 1 species